GAUGAACGCUGGCGGCGUGCCUAAUACAUGCAAGUCGAGCGAACGGACGAGAAGCUUGCUUCUCUGAUGUUAGCGGCGGACGGGUGAGUAACACGUGGAUAACCUACCUAUAAGACUGGGAUAACUUCGGGAAACCGGAGCUAAUACCGGAUAAUAUUUUGAACCGCAUGGUUCAAAAGUGAAAGACGGUCUUGCUGUCACUUAUAGAUGGAUCCGCGCUGCAUUAGCUAGUUGGUAAGGUAACGGCUUACCAAGGCAACGAUGCAUAGCCGACCUGAGAGGGUGAUCGGCCACACUGAAACUGAGACACGGUCCAGACUCCUACGGGAGGCAGCAGUAGGGAAGCUUCCGAAAUGGGCGAAAGCCUGACGGAGCAACGCCGCGUGAGUGAUGAAGGUCUUCGGAUCGUAAAACUCUGUUAUUAGGGAAGAACAUAUGUGUAAGUAACUGUGCACAUCUUGACGGUACCUAAUCAGAAAGCCACGGCUAACUACGUG
rnacentral:rRNA from 1 species